GAUGAAGAACGUAGCGAACGUGCGAAACGUAAUGUGAAUUGCAGAAUUCAGUGAAUCAUCGAAUCUUUGAACGCAUCUUGCGCUCCUUGGUAUUCCGAGGAGCAUGCCUGUUUGAGUGUUGUGAAUACUCUCAACUUCAACCCUUUUUUCGGAAAGGGAGGAAGGUUGGACUUGGGUGUUUGUUGAAGUGCGAGCUUCGACUCAUCCUAAAUGCAUUAGCGAUCUGCCUCGAUCACACACAAUGUGAUAAUUAAAACUAAAGCAUUGUUUAAUGAUCAAGUCGAGACUGCUUCUAACUGUCGCAAGACAAUAACGUGCAUACAUUUGUGCAUGUCAUUUGACCUCAAAUCAGGUAGGACUACCCGCUGAACUUAAGCAUAUCAAUAAGCGGAGGA
rnacentral:misc_RNA from 1 species